UGGGAUAGCUCAGUUCGUAGAGCUGGUAGAGCAUGAGGCUCUUAAUCUCAGGGUUGUGGGUUCAAGCCCCACAUUGGGGAAAA